ensembl:lncRNA
GUUUUGAAGCCCUGUGUGACUCACACUUGCCUGCCAGGGAGGAAGAUGAGGUUAUUCCAGGCAGAGGAGCAGCCUGGCCAACAAGACCCUGCAUAGCUGGCCACGGAAGUCAACUGAGGUUUCAGUGUGUAUAGUGUGUGCAAAAUUGGGGGUGGGGUGACACUAAAAAGAAACAUGGGGCAGCUUGUGAAGGGUGCUGGACCUGUGAUGACUCGCUUCCCUAAACACGGAGCAACUCAUCACAUUGCACAGGGUUUGGCCGGGCUGGGGGAGAAUGGGGGAUCAAAAGAAGGAAGCCAGGGCGUCCCUCCUGGGAUGGAGGAGCUGGGCCAGGUGAAUCUGGGAAGGAAUCGACUUUAGGCUACCCACCCCAGCCCCCACCAGGUCGAUGGGGUCCUCUGGAACUCCCACAGCACCCUCUAUCGCCACACCUCUCCCCUCACACCAGUAUCACUGGUGAGCUCCUCUGUCCCCUGGAUUAGGAGAGGAACCCCCUGGAAUGCUGCUGGAAACAGGCUUUUCCUUUUGUUUCUCUGUCCCAUCAGGAUCUGCCUAAGCUCCCGCGUGGAGUGGGUACCCUGUAAGCUGCCACGUGGUAUGGACGCAUGAGGGGCACGGAGCAGGGGCAGUCAGUGAGUGUCCCUGAGUUUUCUAAGGCAAAGCAGCAGCGGCAGAUGAUGGGACCUCCAUGGGGAAGGCCACAAUGCCAAAGAAGGAGGGAGAGUCAUCCAAAUGCCUUCCUCUCAAUAUUGAAGUCCAACUUCUGAACACCCUACCAGGCGGCAAGGACCCAGGCUCCAAGAACCAGUUUUUCAAGUGGUUCCAUACUGCUUGGCAUCAUUUAGCCAAUAUGCUCACGGUCUACACUCCAUCUACCACUGGGAUCCCAUCACCGCCUGCCUACCCCACUUCCACUCCCACAGCUGACAACUUUCCCUGAACAAGAUUGAGAUUGCUGUGCUCUUGGACACUUGUGCCCAGCCUCCUCUUCCUUGACAACAUCCUCACCCUGUGGGUUCCUCCAGCCUCCAUUUUCUUACCCAGUGGGAAGACUAAGCACCACCUAUGCCUGUCUCUUUACUUCAUUACAUGGCUGGAGAUGGAGUUCCUUCUGUAAAUGGCAUCUGACCUAUCUCAAGAUAGAGGAGCCCAAAGGAGUGACCCAAGUGAGUGAAGUGAAUUAGUGACAACUUCAUGCAGAAAAGUUUGAGACACGUCAUGGAGACGAAUUAGGGAAGAGGUAGAGGAGGACCUCUAAAUAGAGGAAGUGAGGUAACACUGGCAGGGACUGGGCAACCACCAGCUCUCAGCAAGGGAGGGGACAGAGGUCAGCCUGUGGCAAGGAGCUCCCAGCCCCUCCCUCUCUAGGAAGAAGUGGUGGAAGCACCUUUCCUCCAGUUCUGCUCUGGACUCCCAGCAACAAACUGUCAUGAGUUGGAAACUUUGCACAGCCAAGGAUGAAAUGUCAGCCCUCAAACCUAUGUCAGAGCUGCUGUGAAAACUGGAAAUAAGCAACUUAUGAUGGGAAAUUCAUUUGCAUGUACUAUUUUACUUUUUAAACCAGAAUGAUAGUUUUAACUUUUAGGCUUAAGCCAUCCAAUAUCAUCUGUAUGAAUUAUUUCUUAAUUUUCACUGAAUGUUCAAAAGUAGAGUCAUGUUAAAUCAUAUACACACACAGAUGCAUAUACACACAUAUUCAUACCUGUAUGGGGGUGGGGAGUGUGUAUGUGUGUGUGUGCAUAAGCACAAGUUGCUGGGGGGAGAUUAAAUGAAUAAUGCCAUAUACUCACAACCUCAAAAAAUAUUGGGAGUAUUAGUGUUUUGUUUCUCAGUUAUUAAUUCCAGUUAAUGUAGUGAUUAGAAAAGGAAUCCAAACAUUUACUGGAAUUUAACUUCAGCCAAAUAUAAUGAGACAGGCUCAU